rnacentral:rRNA from 1 species
AACAGGUUAGUGCUACGCACCCCGCUGACGAUCGGCGGACGGAUGAGUAAUGCUUAGAAAUCUGCCCAGUAGUGGGGGAUAGCCCGGGGAAACCCGGAUUAAUACCGCAUACGUCCUACGGGAGAAACCAGGGGAUCUUCGGACCUUGCUCUACUGGAUGAGCCUAAGUCGGAUUACCUAGUUGGUGGGGUAAAGGCCUACCAAGGGGACUAUCCGUACCUGGACUGAUAGGAUGAUCAACCACAUCGGGACUGACACACGGCCCGAACUCCUACGGGAGGCCCCACUGGGGAAUAUUGGACAAUGGGGGCAACCCUGAUCCAACCAUGCCGCGUGUGUGAACAAGGGUUUCGGGUUGUAAAGCACUUUCAGCGAGGAGGAAGGCCUUGAAGUUAAUACCUUUGAGGAUUGACGUUACUCUCAAAAUAAGCACCGGCUAACUCCGUGCCAACAUCCGCGGUAAUACGGAGGGUGCAAGCGUUAAUCGGAAUUACUGGCCGUAAAGCGGGCGUAAGUGGUUAGGUAAGCGAGAUGUGAAAGCCCCGGGCUUAACCUGGGAACGGCAUUUCGAACUGUCUGACUAGAGUGUGGUAGAGGGUAGUGGAAUUUCCUGUGUAGCGGUGAAAUGCGUAGAUAUAGGAAGGAACACCAGUGGCGAAGGCGGCUACCUGGACCAACACUGACACUGAGGUGCGAAAGCGUGGGGAGCAAACAGGAUUAGAUACCCUGGUAGUCCACGCCGUAAACGAUGUCAACUAGCCGGUGGGACUCUUGAAGUGUUAGUGGCGCAGCUAACGCAUUAAGUUGACCGCCUGGGGAGUACGGCCGCAAGGUUAAAACUCAAGAUGAAUUGACGGGGGCCCGCACAAGCGGUGGAGCAUGUGGUUUAAUUCGACGCAACGCGAAGAACCUUACCUGGCCUUGACAUCCAGAGAACUUUCCAGAGAUGGAUUGGUGCCUUCGGGAACUCUGAGACAGGUGCUGCAUGGCCGUCGUCAGCUCGUGUCGUGAGAUGUUGGGUUAAGUCCCGUAACGAGCGCAACCCCUAUCCCUGGUUGCUAGCAGGUAAUGUUGAGAACUCCAGGGAGACUGCCGGUGACAAACCGGAGGAAGGUGGGGAUGACGUCAGGUCAUCAUGGCCCUUACGGCCAGGGCUACACACGUGCUACAAUGGCGCGUACAGAGGGCUGCCAACUCGCGAGAGUGCGCCAAUCCCUUAAAACGCGUCGUAGUCCGGAUCGGAGUCUGCAACUCGACUCCGUGAAGUCGGAAUCGCUAGUAAUCGCGAAUCAGAAUGU